rnacentral:misc_RNA from 1 species
GGCGAAGUUUCCUAUUAGGCUAUUACUUGUCACCUCUUCUUCAACAAUCCCUUCAUAUAUUCACUUAAUUCUACCAAAGUUGUCUGUUUUUUCACUUCUCUGAAUAUGGGGCUUUGGGAUUCUUUGCUCAAUUGGCUUAGAAGCCUUUUUUUUAAACAGGAAAUGGAGCUUUCCCUGGUAGGUCUUCAAAAUGCUGGGAAGACGUCUCUUGUCAAUGCUAUUGCUACUGGAGGCUAUAGCGAGGACAUGAUUCCGACGGUUGGAUUCAAUAUGCGGAAAGUUACAAAAGGAAAUGUG